AUCCUGGUGCACGGGCAUUACGUAUCGAGUGAGGUUUAUGUACGUUUCUUUAUCUCUUCCUAUGUCCACAAAAGAACAACAACGCUGACUGCAUUUAGAACUGACGAUACGUAUUUGCUAGUUGAAAAGUGAGUCAAACCUGAUCAAAAUCAAGAAGUUCAUUUUUGCUAACUUUCCUGUUCUUUUAG
rfam:Fonsecaea multimorphosa CBS 102226 unplaced genomic scaffold supercont1.10, whole genome shotgun sequence.